rnacentral:rRNA from 1 species
GAAGGUGUGUCGUGAGGCAUGCUGGAGGUAUCAGAAGUGCGAAUGCUGACAUAAGUAACGAUAAAGCGGGUGAAAAGCCCGCUCGCCGGAAGACCAAGGGUUCCUGUCCAACGUUAAUCGGGGCAGGGUGAGUCGACCCCUAAGGCGAGGCCGAAAGGCGUAGUCGAUGGGAAACGGGUUAAUAUUCCCGUACUUGGUGUUACUGCGAAGGGGGGACGGAGAAGGCUAUGUUGGCCGGGCGACGGUUGUCCCGGUUUAAGCGUGUAGGUGUGUGUUCCAGGUAAAUCCGGUU